rnacentral:rRNA from 1 species
GCGGAAGGAUCAUUACCGAGUGAGGGCCCUCUGGGUCCAACCUCCCACCCGUGUUUAUUUUACCUUGUUGCUUCGGCGGGCCCGCCUUAACUGGCCGCCGGGGGGCUUACGCCCCCGGGCCCGCGCCCGCCGAAGACACCCUCGAACUCUGUCUGAAGAUUGAAGUCUGAGUGAAAAUAUAAAUUAUUUAAAACUUUCAACAACGGAUCUCUUGGUUCCGGCAUCGAUGAAGAACGCAGCGAAAUGCGAUACGUAAUGUGAAUUGCAAAUUCAGUGAAUCAUCGAGUCUUUUGAACGCACAUUGCGCCCCCUGGUAUUCCGGGGGGCAUGCCUGUCCGAGCGUCAUUGCUGCCCUCAAGCCCGGCUUGUGUGUUGGGCCCCGUCCCCCGAUCUCCGGGGGACGGGCCCGAAAGGCAGCGGCGGCACCGCGUCCGGUCCUCGAGCGUAUGGGGCUUUGUCACCCGCUCUGUAGGCCCGGCCGGCGCUUGCCGAUCAACCCAAAUUUUUAUCCAGGUUGACCUCGGAUCA